UCACUCAGUUGGCACUGGCCGCCUUAGACCGACAAUCUCAUCCACACCUCUAUCUGUUUCUAAAUGGCUAAUUCUCAAUCUCUUCCUCUAUGUGAAAAAACACCCCUCAAAAUUAACACACUACAGAGAGCCCAGGAAAUUGCAAUUUUGUUCCUCUUCAUCUGUCUCCUUGUUUAUCGUCUGCUCUCCCUCACUGACCAUGGUUUUGUCUGGCUUCUUGCCUUCCUGUGUGAGUCUUGGUUUACCUUCAAUUGGGUUCUCACCCUCAUCAUCCAAUGGACCCCUGUUGAAUACAAAACUUACCCUGAAAACCUCUUGCAACAGGUGCCAGAGCUUCCUGCAGUGGACAUGUUUGUGACAACAGCAGAUGCAGACCUAGAGCCGCCCAUCAUCACAGUGAACACAGUGCUCUCUCUUCUUGCUGUAGAUUAUCCAUCUCACAAGCUAGCUUGCUAUGUUUCUGAUGAUGGCUGCUCACCUCUCACCCUCUACUCUCUCACCGAAUCCUCUAAAUUUGCUCAGUUUUGGGUACCCUUUUGCAAAAAGUAUAAUAUUCAAGUUAGAGCUCCAUUUAGAUACUUCUCUGGCAAUUCCAAAUUGCCAAGUGAUAAUCCAAUUGGGUUUCUACAGGAAUGGACAAAAAUGAAGGAUGAGUAUCAAAAGCUCUGCCAAAAAAUUGAAGAUGCUGUCCAAAAUUUGGCAACCCUUGAUUUUUCUGGAGACUCUGGGGAUUUUGCUGACAUAGACAAAAGAAACCAUCCCACUAUAAUCAAGGUAGUUUGGGAGAACAAAGAGAAUAAUGGGGUGCCACAUUUAGUUUAUGUAGCCAGGGAGAAGCGUUCAGAUCAAUCACAUCACCACAAGGCUGGCGCCAUGAAUGUUUUGACCAGGGUCUCUGGUGUGAUGACAAAUGCUCCAUUUAUGUUGAACGUCGACUGCGAUAUGUAUGCCAACAAUUCAAAGAUCGUUCUGUAUGCGAUGUGCCUAUUGCUCGGCUUCAAGCAUGAAAAAGAAGGUGCAUUUGUUCAGUACCCACAAAUGUUCUACGACACUUUGAAAGAUGAUCCAUUUGGAAACCAACUGGUUCUCCCUCUAAAAUUAUCUUGGCCAGGGUUCGCUGGGAUGCAAGGACCUCUCUAUGCAGGGACCGGAUGUUUUCACAGACGUAAAGUUAUCUACGGUUUUUCCUUUAUGGAUAGUGAAGGAAAUCUGAGGGAUGUGGCAUUGGAUCAAGAACGGUUUGGAAAUUCCACGGAGUUAAUCGAAUCAGCAACUCAUACUUUAUCAGAGAAAAUUGAUCAUCCUCAUGACCUUUCCAGUGCUGUUGAGGCAGCCAACAAAGUUGCUGGUUCUUCGUACGAGCACAAUACAUUGUGGGGUACAAAGGUAGGCUGGCUUUAUGGGUCAGUCACAGAAGAUAUCCUAACUGGGAUGAAGAUCCAUGCAAGGGGCUGGAAGUCUAUCUUAUGCAUGCCAGACCCACCAGGCUUUAUCGGCUCUGCACCCUCAUCUUCUCAUAUUGUGUUGACCCAAAGGAAGAGAUGGGUCACAGGCCUCCUAGAAAUUUUGUUCAGCAAAAAUAGUCCCAUCUUUGCUACCCUCUAUGCUAAGUUGGAGUUUAGGCAGUGCUUGGCCUACACGACCGUGCUAAUUUGGGGCCUACAUUCCAUUCCUGAUCUAUGCUAUACUAUACUGCCAGCCUACUGUAUCAUUACCAACUCACAUUUCUUGCCCUAGGUCAAAGAACCGGCUCUCAUAAUCUUUGUUGCCGUGUUUCUAAUGAAGAUUUUGUACACCUUACGUUUUUACCUGGGAUCUGGCCUAUCAAUCAAUCAAUGGUGGAACCAUGUGAGAAUGGGGCCAUCGGGGAAAAUACCCUAUUUAACUACAUCGUUAUUUGGAGUUGUAACCGUGGUAUUCAAGCUUUUGGGUAUAUCUGAGGUGGCAUUUGAAGUCACACAAAAGGACCAAUAUUCCUCUUCAAGUGAUGACCAAGACGAUGAUGGCAACGCUGGUAGGUUCACUUUUGAUGAGUCUCCAAUAUUUGUGCCGGCCACAACCCUCUUGUUUGUGCACUUCACAGCCCUAGCCAUGGGCUUGUUUGGGAUGCAACCACCGGCUCAUGGUGCGGAUGGGGCGGGGCUAGGUGAGAUGAUGUGCUGUGUUUGGGUGGUGCUAUGUUUUUGGCCAUUUCUCAAAGGGUUGUUUGGGAAGGGCAAAUAUGGAAUUCCAAUGCCCACUAUAUUCAAAUCAGCUGUCUUGGCCUUGCUUUUCAUGCACUUCUGUGGAAGGAUCCCUCUGCCACUGCGCCGCUGAUGGACUAUUUUUUUUUUUGGACAACGAAUCCGCUGAUGGACUAUAGUUCCUCUUGGAUAGGAUAUUUGAUAAAAUUUCCAUUAUUGUUAUUGUUUUUCCUAA